GUGAGGAAUUUUCCGCAAUGGGCGAAAGCCUGACGGAGCAAUGCCGCGUGAAGGAUGAAGACCUAUGGGUUGUAAACUUCUUUUCUCAGAAAAGAAUUAUGACGGUAUCUGAGGAAUAAGCAUCGGCUAACUCUGUGCCAGCAGCCGCGGUAAGGCAGAGGAUGCAAGCGUUAUCCGGAAUGAUUGGGCGUAAAGCGUCUGUAGGUUGUUUAAAAAGUAUUCUGUCAAAGAUUAGGGCUUAACCCUAGAUAGGCAGAAUAAACUUUUAAGCUAGAGUUUGGUAGAGGCAGAGGGAAUUCCCGGUGGAGCGGUGAAAUGCGUAGAUAUCGGGAGGAACACCAAAGGCGAAGGCACUCUGCUGGGCCAAUACUAACACUGAGAGACGAAAGCGAGGGGAGCAAAUGGGAUUAGAAACCCCUGUAGUCC
rnacentral:rRNA from 1 species